rnacentral:rRNA from 1 species
GAGAUGUGGGUAGUCCGUACGAGCGCACCUUGUCCUUAUUUGCCAGCACGUAAUGGUGGGAACUCUAAGGAGACUGCCGGUGACAAACCGGAGGAAGGUGGGGACGACGUCAAGUCAUCAUGGCCCUUAUGACCAGGGUCUACACACGUGCUACAAUGGAGCGUACAGAGGGUUGCUAAGCCGCGAGGUGGAGCCAAUCCCAGAAAACGUUUCGUAGUCCGGAUCGAAGUCUGCAACACGACUUCGUGAAGUCGGAAUCGCUAGUAAUCGCGAAUCAGCAUGUCGCGGUGAAUACGUGCCCGGGCCUUGUACACACCGGCCGUCACACCAUGGGAGUGGGUUGCAAAAGAAGUGGCUAGUCUAACCUUCGGGAGGACGGUCACCACUUUGUGAUUCAUGACUGGGGUGAAGUCGUAACAAGGUAGCCCUAGGGGAACCUGGGGCUGGAUCACCUCCUU